AAUCUUCCACAAUGGGCGAAAGCCUGAUCCAGCCAUCCCGCGUGUAUGAUGAAGGACUUCGGGUUGUAAAGUACUUUUGGCAGAGAAGAAAAGGUAUCCCCUAAUACGGGAUCCUGCUGACGGUACCUGCAGAAUAAGCACCGGCUAACUACGUGCCAUCCUCCACGGUAAAACGUAGGGUGCAAGCGUUAAUCGGAAUUACUGGGCGUAAAGCGUGUGUAGGCGGUUCGGAAAGAAAGAUGUGAAAUCCCAGGGCUCAACCUUGGAACUGCAUUUUUAACUGCCGAGCUAGAGUAUGUCAGAGGGGGGUAGAAUUCCACGUGUAGCAGUGAAAUGCGUAGAUAUGUGGAGGAAUACCGAUGGCGAAGGCAGCCCCCUGGGAUAAUACUGACGCUCAGACACGAAAGCGUGGGGAGCAAACAGG
rnacentral:rRNA from 1 species